rnacentral:rRNA from 1 species
CACGUAGGGGGCGAGCGUUGUUCGGAAUUACUGGGCGUAAAGGGCAUGUAGGCGGCUCUGUAAGUCCGGCGUGGAAGCCCACGGCUCAACCGUGGGAUUGCGCUGGAAACUGCGGGGCUUGAGUCAUGGAGAGGGAGCUAGAAUUCCAGGUGUAGGGGUGAAAUCUGUAGAGAUCUGGAAGAAUACCAGUGGCGAAGGCGAGCUCCUGGCCAAUGAUUGACGCUGAGGUGCGAAAGUGUGGGGAUCAAACAGG